rnacentral:rRNA from 1 species
UUUAUGGAGAGUUUGAUCCUGGCUCAGGAUGAACGCUGGCGGCGUGCCUAAUACAUGCAAGUCGAGCGAACGGACGAGAAGCUUGCUUCUCUGAUGUUAGCGGCGGACGGGUGAGUAACACGUGGAUAACCUACCUAUAAGACUGGGAUAACUUCGGGAAACCGGAGCUAAUACCGGAUAAUAUUUUGAACCGCAUGGUUCAAAAGUGAAAGACGGUCUUGCUGUCACUUAUAGAUGGAU